rnacentral:rRNA from 1 species
ACUCAAAGGAAUUGACGGGGGCCCGCACAAGCGGUGGAGCAUGUGGUUUAAUUCGACGCAACGCGCAGAACCUUACCAACUCUUGACAUGGCCGGUUUACCCGCAGAGAUGCGGCGUCCCGCAAGGGGCCGGUUACAGGUGCUGCAUGGCUGUCGUCAGCUCGUGUCGUGAGAUGUUGGGUUAAGUCCCGCAACGAGCGCAACCCUUGUCCGUAGUUGCCAUCAGGUUGGGCUGGGCACUCUACGGGGACUGCCGGUGACAAGCCGGAGGAAGGUGGGGAUGACGUCAAGUCCUCAUGGCCCUUACGAGUUGGGCUACACACGUGCUACAAUGGUGGUGACAGAGGGCAGCGAGGCUGCGAGGCCAAGCAAAUCCCAAAAAGCCAUCUCAGUUCGGAUUGCACUCUGCAACUCGAGUGCAUGAAGGUGGAAUCGCUAGUAAUCGCGGAUCAGCACGCCGCGGUGAAUACGUUCCCGGGCCUUGUACACACCGCCCGU